CAACUAGGAUUUCACACAGCCUGUGGCAAAGGGUUGGCAUGAAGCAGGUGUGUGCAUCUGCAUUUUGGGACUCUGAAGCUGCAGCAUGUCUGUUGCAUACCUCUCCAUGUUCUCUCUUCUCUUUGUGGGCUGACUGUAACAGAAAAUCUGCACAGAAGCUUGAAGACAAAAGGCAGCUUGUUGAUUCUGAGCAAGUGGGACUUGGUUGGUCUUGGGAUUCAGCUAAUGUGAUACUGGAAAUAUUUGAAACUUGGAAUUGACCUUGAACCUGUCCUACUCUGUGUAAUAGCUUGUGCAUCAAAAAAUGUGAAUCAAAUUUUCUACCUUUGUGAUGCGGAUGAGUGCUCUGGGUUCUAUUCUUGAAGAUUCUGCUUUUGGGAAGAACUGCCUCAGGUAGGGGAUCAGAGGUGACUGGAAGUCCAGCUUGAAAUGGCAGGUGUACACCUCAACUAUCUGAACAAUGGAAGUAUUGCAGCAACAAGAAGGGUUGUGCCCAGGCUCAGUUCAUCUCAAUUUAUGGUUUGUCAUCUUACAUUCACACCUGUAUUGCUCUAAGUCCUGGAUUUUAGACUUUGAGUUCAAAUCCUACUGUGGCUGGUGUCUAUCGUGGCCCUGUGAUAGGACAGACGUGUGCUGCUGGCGGUGCAGGCUGCAUGUCUCAAGCAUGAUGAUGCCCAUCUGACCACUCUGAAACCACAGGCUCAGGAGAGAUCCUGGUGAGGCUGUGAUUUGCCUGACAUUUAUUUUGGCCCUGGUGGUAGCUGCUUUGAGUUUUUCUCUUUUCUUUUUCUUUUUAUUUAUUUAUUUUUCCUGGGUUAUUUUUAACCUGGAUCAAUUCCCUGGUCUGAUUCACCUCACAUUCACACAAAAGUUGUACAGGCACAACUGAGGGAGCAUCAGGAAUUAGCAGAGGGAGUGGUGCCUGCACACAGCAGCACUUGUACUAAAAGAAAAGCACCCUUAAGUCCUCUCUAACUGUGUCAAUUUGAAGUGCUCUCGUUCUCUCUCUGUCACAGGCUUUUUGUUGCUGUUGUGGAUUUUCCUCACUUUGUUGCUACAUGUUUUUCUCCCCAUACAACAUGUUGUUUCAACUCUGCCAGUACUCAUCUGCCAUCUCGUUAGUUGUCUGCUGACUACUGCAGCACUUAAGAAAAGGAAAAGAGAAAGGAGAAAGUCUUUGUAGGCUUCUAGCAGGCAAUGGAAAAAUAACGCUAGGAUGAGCAUCACCUAGUUUUAAAAAGGCAAAAAGAAUAAUUGCUUUCCUGACCAAGAAAUUCUGGCUAGAAAGCUUGCUUGCUGACUCAGGAACACAUGCGGAGGGAGGAUACCCACUCCUCAAGGGCCUUUUUCCCCUCUGCAGUCUUAGAGAAAGAAUCAUUUGCCAAGCAAGCACUGGCAAAGGCUUGCUGCUUUUAUGUUUUCCCUGGUGGGACUAUCUGCAAGGUAAUGCACAUCAGCGUAUUAUAUGAUGAUCCUGAAGGUAUUAAUUAUGAUUACUCUUGGUGGUUUGGUUUUUGGCUCUUUGCCACGUUUUUUUUCUUCCUUGUGUCUGAGAGUGAUAUAAAGUAGAUGAUGACGUACAGGAACCAAACCUUACCUUUACAGAAUCCUCCAGUAAAACGAAGAUGUGCAGAAAGCUUCAGUAAUCCUGUUGUUGUAUGUUGCCUUUUACUUUGGUAAUACGUGGAUUCAGUGCAAAAUGGAGGUUGAUUGGUAGCUGUGAAAAACAAUUGAUUCAUAUGAAUAAUGGCUCAAAUUGUGGACCAGUUGUGAACAGGGGCUUGCAACUGUGCACUUGAAUAAGCAGCUUAAAAAUUGUGUUAAGAGUGGGAGAAGUGCUUGGUUUCUUGCUGUAGCCCAGCACUGAGCAGAGAAGCUAUUGCUUGAUUUUGGGGCACCGAAAAGCCUUGGUUGUACUUAAAGUCCAAUUAUGUGUUCACCAGGAAACCAAAAAAUCUGACAAAAACUGAUAAAUUUCAGCAAAGGGAAUUUUCUUUUAGUCUAAUCCAGUAGCUUAGACUUCCACCUGAAGGCACAGGAGACUCAGUUCUUCAAGAUACACAGGACACGAACAUGAGACAGCUUCCACCAUGGUAAUGAAGUGUAUAGAGACUUACCUUUGAAGGAACUUUUUUCUGCUUUUACCCAUAUAGGUCUAAGGCAAUUAAUCAAUAAGCAAGAACACAGGGUGGAAACAUAUGGUCUUUGAUAUUUAAUAAAUGGAUUAACAGAGUCCACCGCUUAAUAUUCAGCCUCUGCCUUAGGAGUAUAAAUUAAUAAGCAUUAGGUCCUUUUUAAUGAGGAAUUUUUCUCUUUUAAAACCUGAAUGAAUUAUCAAAAAGAGUUCUGGCAGAAUUUCAAAGACAUUUUCUGACCUUCUAGUAUUCUGGCCUGCAUGAAUUUUUAACAAGAUGCUAUAUAUCUGGAAGGUCUAUUAGAAUGCGUCUGCAUGAAAUCUAUCUGCCCUCUAGCCCCCCACCUCUUUUAUUCCUUUUUUUCUUUUUUUUCUUUUUUUAAAUCAGACAACUGAAGCAGAAAAAGAAGUAUCUCCAAUAGCAAGGGAAUACUUAAUUUAUGUAAAUUAAGUUUUAAGAAAGAGUCCUUAUUCAAGUUAAUAAAACCACACACAUUGCUUUUAAAUAUUAAUGGUGGCUGGCAAAAAUCCUUUAUUUAUAGUGACAUUUUCAUUUAUAUUCAUUUUUGAAUAGUAUCAACAAUGUAAAGCAUUCCAAGAUCUGUUUGAAAAUGCGUAUUUUAAAGUGUAUAACAUGCAUAACUUCUAAUGAAAUGCACAUGGCUAUGCUUUCAGUCCUGUAAAACAUUUUUUUCUGGUUUCUAUUCCAGAAAACCUUU